UAGUGAGUACACUAGGGUAGCUGGGUCAUCUCCAAAUGGUAACUGAGUGUUUGCGCCAGCAGGAUUGAAGGAGUCACUGGGGAUGAAGAUCACUGCUCAGGGGCUCAUCUUUCCGGAGAAGCGUCCUCAUGGUGCAGGCGGUCAAACCUCCACCUCUUUGAAGAGACCAAGCAGCUUGAUGACUGACUGGUUCUUUAUACUCAAGACCUCGUCCCGGAGCAGAGGACGGACCUAAGGCCCGCAGCGCAGCAGACUAGAGACUCCAUGUGGAACCGGUUCAAUUAAGUUGACCUCUCCUUCAGGCGACUUAAAGGGAGACCAGAUGUGCGGCAGCUGGGUGUCAUCGUGCAGAGACCCAACGCUGUACUGAACUACACCAGUGUGUCCUCCCAUAAACCCUGAGGAUCCCUGGAUGGCUACACCAGCACAUUAAUCCACACCCAACAUCAACACACAGUGCACACUCUAUAGAGCUCGUAAGUCCGCCCCUUGCGGCGGGACCUCGUGAGAUCGUAAGUUAUGACUGGGUU